CAUCUAAGUUCAGAAUUAAGACAAGCAAAAUGAGUGGCUUGAUGGAGCUUGUAAUUCUUGUCCCAUGUUGUUUCUUCCUCGUAGCUUUAAUAAAGUUCCUUUAUGAUUACCUGUGGGUACCUCUCCGUAUACAGCAUCUGAUGAAUUCACAGGGAAUCAAAGGACCUCCUUACAAAUUCAUCCAUGGAAACAAUGAAGAAGCUACCAAGAUGAGACAAGAAGCAUUAAGCAAACCUAUGGCCUUGAAGCAUGAUAUAUUUCCUAGAGUGCAGCCACAUGUUUACACCUGGAUCAACAGAUAUGGUAAGAUCCAUGCAUAUUUUUCACUAUAGUGUUCCAAUAUAGUAGUAAAUGAAAAUUUGUAAGUAAUUAAAAGUUGACUUGGUUACUAAUAAAAGUUGUUUAUUCAAAAGUGAUGCAGUUACUUGAUUAUUAAUAAAAAAAAUUAGGAUUAUUUUAGUAAUAAAUAAUGAACAAUUGUAUUUAUUUUUAACAAAUAAACAUCUAUUAAAUAGUUAUAUUUUUAUAAGUAGACAUUAGAAUUCGUAUAGAUAAGAGAGAAAUUUCAUUUUUAUAUGCUAAAAACCCAAAAACAAAGAAUUUAUCCAUUCUCCUUCAUCUUCAAAUAUUCAAAGGUUGUUUUAUCAAGAACUAUUGCAGAAGUUUUUAUAGAAUAUGAUACUUUUCCUAAUGUUCAGUGUACUAUUUUCAUUAAUAUAAAAAAGUGGCGUUGGUUAAUUUUUAUAAGUUUAUUUGUAUUCUUACCCACCAGUUCUAUUAAAUAGUUAUAACAAAAUUGACCCGUCAAAAGUCUUUGCUUCAUUCUCGUUACACGACAAUGAGCAAAGAGGGUCUUUGCUUCAUUCUCGUUACACGACAAUGAGCAAAGAGGAGCAGCUGUAACAGGUCAAUUUUGACCUAGGCCUAAAGACCCAAAACAAAUGAAAAUAACCCAAAAAUUACAGCCCAAAGCCCAGUAAAUUAAAAUUUGUUUCAGCAAAAAAACCUAGCCCUAGCCGCAUGCACACCUCUGCCAGGUGCGCCGCUCCAGCUCCUCACACGCCGCCGCCGCCCAAGACUCGCCUACCACCGGUCGUCCACGCGUCUGACACCUGCGAAAAUUAAAUAUAAUGGCAAAAAGGAAGCACGCGAGCAAUAAUAAUAGUUAACAGAUAAUAAAGAAGAAGAAAUCAUUUUGAUUCGGGUAUAAAAGCCCGAAUCUCACCGUUGUUUUUUUUUACGAACACACAUCAGUGAAUCAAGAAAUACAGAACUGAGAUUCUAAAAGGUUGAUAGAAAUCUGAUUAUUUUCUUUAGUUUUUUCUGAUUUCCGUUUCUUAUCAUCUAUCAUUUAUUUAUUUCAUUUAUUUAUCUACGCAUUUUUUACGAAAUUUUUACAAAGAAAACGUGAAAAUAAAAAGGGAAGAGGGGACUUACCGAGGAAGCGCCGGGAUCCAGCUCACGGAGGGUUCUCCUCCUUUGCGACCGCCGGAUCUAGAGGGUGCUGAGAAUCUUCCUCUUUUCUUUUUUAAGGUUGAAGGGUUCAGCCCUCGGGGUAUUCUAAGGCCGAGGUCUUUGACCUCUUUUCCUCCGUCGUCGGCCACCGGUCUUCAUGGCUGCGGCGGCGGUGCACUGGAGGCUAAGAAACCCAAGGGUCGGUGUUUGAAAAAAAGGGAAUGAUUUUGAAACUAAAAAAGGAAAAAGAAAACAGAGGCAAGAAUGAGAAUUUU
rnacentral:lncRNA from 1 species